rnacentral:rRNA from 1 species
AUUGAACGCUGGCGGCAUGCUUUACACAUGCAAGUCGAGCGGCAGCGCGGGGGUUCAGGCAACUGAGUUCUGGCGGCGAGCGGCGAACGGGUGAGUAAUGCAUCGGAACGUACCUAGGAGUGGGGGAUAGCUCGGCGAAAGCCGGAUUAAUACCGCAUAUUCUGUACGCAGGAAAGCUGGGGCUUCGCAAGAACCUAGUGCUUUUAGAGCGGCCGAUGUCCGANAGCUAGUUGGUGGGGUAAAGGCCUACCAAGGCGUCGAUCGGUAGCUGGUCUGAGAGGAUGAUCAGCCACACUGGGACUGAGACACGGCCCAGACUCCUACGGGAGGCAGCAGUGGGGAAUUUUGGACAAUGGGGGCAACCCUGAUCCAGCCAUGCCGCGUGAGUGAAGAAGGCCUUCGGUUGUAAGUA